AGAGUUUGAUCAUGGCUCAGAUUGAACGCUGGCGGCAUGCCUAACACAUGCAAGUCGAACGGUAACAGGAUUAGCUUGCUAAUCGCUGACGAGUGGCGGACGGGUGAGGAAUGCAUAGGGUAACGCGUAGGAAUUUGCCCAGUAGUGGGGGACAACAUGUGGAAACGCAUGCUAAUACCGCAUACGCCCUACGGGGGAAAGCGGGGGAUCUUCGGACCUCUCGCCAUUUGAUUAGCCCAAGUGAGAUUAGCUAGUUGGUGAGGUAAUGGCUCACCAAGGCGACGAUCUCUAGCUGGUUUGAGAGGAUGAUCAGCCACACUGGGACUGAGACACGGCCCAGACUCCUACGGGAGGCAGCAGUGGGGAAUAUUGCACAAUGGGCGAAAGCCUGAUGCAGCCAUGCCGCGUGUGUGAAGAAGGCCUUCGGGUUGUAAAGCACUUUCAGCGAGGAGGAAAGGGGUGUAGUUAAUAGCUGCAUCCUGUGACGUUACUCGCAGAAGAAGCACCGGCUAACUUCGUGCCAGCAGCCGCGGUAAUACGAGGGGUGCAAGCGUUAAUCGGAAUUACUGGGCGUAAAGCGCGCGUAGGUGGUUAGGUAAGUUGGAUGUGAAAGCCCCGGGCUUAACCUGGGAACUGCAUUCAAAACUGCCUAGCUAGAGUACGAUAGAGGGGGGUAGAAUUUCAGGUGUAGCGGUGAAAUGCGUAGAGAUCUGAAGGAAUACCAGUGGCGAAGGCGGCCCCCUGGAUUGAUACUGACACUGAGGCGCGAAGGCGUGGGGAGCAAACGGGAUUAGAUACCCCGGUAGUCCACGCAGUAAACGAUGUCUAUUAGAAGUUUGUGGCUAUAUGCCGUGGGUUUCAAAGCUAACGCAUUAAAUAGACCGCCUGGGGAGUACGGCCGCAAGGUUAAAACUCAAAUGAAUUGACGGGGGCCCGCACAAGCGGUGGAGCAUGUGGUUUAAUUCGAUGCAACGCGAAGAACCUUACCAGGUCUUGACAUCCUGAGAACUUACUAGAGAUAGUUUGGUGCCUUCGGGAACGCAGUGACAGGUGCUGCAUGGCUGUCGUCAGCUCGUGUCGUGAGAUGUUGGGUUAAGUCCCAUAACGAGCGCAACCCUUGUCCUUAGUUGCCAGCGCGUAAUGGCGGGGACUCUAAGGAGACUGCCGGUGAUAAACCGGAGGAAGGUGGGGACGACGUCAAGUCAUCAUGGCCCUUAUGAGUAGGGCUACACACGUGAUACAAUGGGCAGUACAAAGGGUUGCCAACUCGCGAGAGUGAGCGGAUCCCAUAAAGCUGUUCGUAGUCCGGAUUGGAGUCUGCAACUCGACUCCAUGAAGUUGGAAUCGCUAGUAAUCGUGGAUCAGAAUGCCACGGUGAAUACGUUCCCGGGCCUUGUACACACCGCCCGUCACACCAUGGGAGUGGGUUGCAAAAGAAGUAGCUAGACUAACCUUCGGGAGGUCGGUUACCACUUUGUGAUUCAUGACUGGGGUGAAGUCGUAACAAGGUAGCCCUAGGGGAACCUGGGGCUGGAUCACCUCCUUU
rnacentral:rRNA from 1 species